rnacentral:antisense_RNA from 2 species
CUUCACCGACCCCAACCACAACGGCGCACCCGCCCGCUCACGCCCGUACGUCGCCAGCAGCGCCUGCGCCUC